UACGUAGGGCGCAAGCGUUAUCCGGAAUUAUUGGGCGUAAAGAGCUCGUAGGCGGUUUGUCGCGUCUGCCGUGAAAGUCCGGGGCUUAACCCCGGAUCUGCGGUGGGUACGGGCAGACUAGAGUGCAGUAGGGGAGACUGGAAUUCCUGGUGUAGCGGUGAAAUGCGCAGAUAUCAGGAGGAACACCGAUGGCGAAGGCAGGUCUCUGGGCUGUAACUGACGCUGAGGCUCGAAAGCGUGGGGAGCAAACAGG
rnacentral:rRNA from 1 species